rnacentral:lncRNA from 1 species
UUUUGCUUUCUGCUAGACAACUGAAUAUAGACCAGAGGCCUGUUCACCUGCAAGAAAUGAGAAAAUCAGGCUCAUGCCGACAAAAUGACUUUAUUGUGCAAAAAUGAAAAUAUUUGGACAGCCCCCAUGUGUUUUUCCUGGAUGGAGACCUUUUUCUGGCCAGAAAAAAGGGAAAAAAAAAUGGUGUUUCUCUCUGCAGAACUUGUUUAUAUUGAUUUGUUUAAUAAAAC